CGGAGGGUGCAAGCGUUAUCCGGAUUCACUGGGUUUAAAGGGUGCGUAGGUGGAUUGGUAAGUCCGUGGUGAAAUCCCCGAGCUUAACUCGGGAACUGCCGUGGAUACUAUCAAUCUUGAAUACUGUGGAGGUAAGCGGAAUAUGUCAUGUAGCGGUGAAAUGCUUAGAUAUGACAUAGAACACCGAUAGCGAAGGCAGCUUGCUACACAGUCAUUGACACUGAGGCACGAAAGCGUGGGGAGCAAACAGGAUUAGAUACCCUGGUAGUCCACGCCCUAAACGAUGAUUACUCGACAUACGCGAUACACUGUGUGUGUCUGAGCGAAAGCAUUAAGUAAUCCACCUGGGAAGUACGACCGCAAGGUUG
rnacentral:rRNA from 1 species